UGUGUACAUUUGGUGUUUGGAAUCCGCGUGUCCCACUCCCCCUACCAAAACCCUACAGCUUCACAUUUACUCUCUUUCUCAAGACAUAAGUCUCAAACAAGCACUUAAUCACUCUCAAGCAAUUACCUAAAUCCAACCAUCGAAUCAGCAAUUGAACAAUCGAUUUUCAGUGGUUUUCCAGCGAUGGCGACGACGCCGGUCCAGUGAUUACAUAGUGGAGAUGAUCAAUGAUGGGAUGCAAAAGUACAAUCUGCAAUUUCAUGGACCUGCUGAAAUAAGUUAUUAUCAUUUAGAUGAAAUUCAUGGUUGAUAUAGAACUUUGGAUCCCAUAUGCUUUCUAUCCAUAUGCUGUUGUUGAGGAAGAUUCAGGCGCUGGUGCUAGAGUCAAGCCACUCACGAUAGCCAUUCGACUGAAAUCAGCCGUUGAAAUCGGCCAUGUGGUGUAUAUCUUCUCUUCCACAUUGAAGAUUUCUCACCGGAUUUUCAACCGACAACUGUCAGUUUCAAUCUCUGCAUCCAUCAUUCAUUCAUUUAAGGCAUCCUUUGUUGGAGCCAUGGCAAUAACUGACUUAGUCAAAACAACCCUAGGGCCAAAAGGAAUGGGCGUUAGAGGUUGUGUGUCGGGCUCCAAAGAAGAUAACCUAACCUAUGUGCAGCUGAGCGGACUUACUCUAUAAGUUGUAACAAGGUUGGAAAGCAACAAAAAAACAAUAAAUUUCACGUCCGCUUAAAAUGUUUGUACCAUGGCUCGCAAUUUGAGGGCGUCGCUAAUUUCACAAUUACAUGGUACAUGCAUACAGCUUCCUACAGAUACAAAGAUACCUUCAUCUGCCUACAUCAAAGCACGAGGUUAAAGACUCGCAACGUGUUGUUUAGAUAUGGAUGUCACCUAAAACUACAGCUCUUUUUUAGUGACCCACUUCAAAGGAAAUAAUUUAUUCCUAAAAUAAGACUUGAUCAUUGGUUGGACUUUUUUGCAUCAUGAAGUAUUCAUGAGUUUCUAUAAUUUUUUGGCUAAAACUAUGAAACAUUGAAUGUAUCUGAAUGUAUCAUUAGCUUUAGAUAGCAUGAAUUUGCUAAAACUCUCAACUCAUUUCACCUGCUCCUCUUACAGCUAAUAUUUUUGGCAUGUUUGGCCUGAUUGAGUUAAAGCAAAAGACAAAUUGACCCAUGAUAAGUGAACAGAGAUCUUUUGUUUUAGCCAUGAAGUUAUAGAAAUGGUUGUACUUCUUUUCCUCAAAUGCUAUUUUUAGUGUUACCUUGCAUAUUGCCCAUCCGUUUUUAUUUCAUAUCUUCUAAAGUUUAAAAGAAAUCACUUCUAUUUUCAACACAGUGAGAUCUAAACAUUUUUAAUGUAGAAGUGCUGCUCGAGAUGUAUGCGAUGCAAGUGAAGAACAAACAAGCUAUGAAUGAACUAAGCAAAAACUCAUUGACAAAGACUAUUAUACCUUUUUCAGGGUUUCGGAGUUCGAUCUUUGGAAUAGCUAUCGGAAUUACAGAGUUGGCUUACAUCGAGGCAGGUGCAGGUGCUAAUGCCAAUGGAAUCUAUAUACCAGAUCAUUGUUCCGCAUGUGACCGGAGGCACGUGUGUCUAAAUACCAAAUUAGGCUUACAAACUUGCUGAAGACAUUAAGAAAAAAUGUGGGAUUAGCAAGCAACUUCAAUUAAGGAUGGUGAGAAAAGUACACGACGUUGUUUCGAUUGAUUACACUCUUACACCGGGGCACUGGUACCCUGUGCAAUAUGACGAUUGCUUUUGUUUGGUCAGGUUUUUUGAUGUUGAAGAGAGUUUGUCUAAAUCGUUACCGGAAUUCAUAAGCCUCAUUUGUUUUUCAAUGUCAUAUUUUUGGGAUUUUGGUCAAAUAUAAAAUAAUAACAUUCAUAAGCCACAUCAGAGUUUAUUUUUUUUUUUGCCAAUUUAAACUCAUAAAUAAUUUUUUUUAAUUCAGUAUUUGUUAAAUGGACAGGUAGUGAUGACAGUAUAUUGGUCAGAGAGGACUUGGAUGGUCAAAUCAUGAUCUUCAUGAUGCUGAUAAGAAGCCAGUAAGUAUGACUUUAGAGGACAAAUUAUCAUCUCUUGUCACACCCCAACCAAUGGCGGAAACAUCGGGAUGAGACGAAGUGUGUAUAGAUUGCUAGAGACGUCAUAACACUAUGUGACAAUAUUUAAUUUAAUUCAAAUUUCAUUGCAAUACUAAAUGUCAUACAAAUUCAAAAGGAGAUAACAACAUUGUUUCAACAAAAAUCAUAACAACAAAA